rnacentral:misc_RNA from 1 species
UCCAGGACCAGAGGAAAAUGCGGCAUUUGACAAAUUAAUUUAAAAAACGAAGAAACAAGGAAAAGUUAGGGAACAAUUCUGGAAUGGGUGCAUACUGAUGGUCUCUCCACGCGCAAAUGACGUUUGCAGGUAACCCCCAGAUCAGGGAAAAUUGAGAGAACUUAUACAAUUUAUAAUCUUUAACGCGUGAUAUUUGAGGACAUGCACAAAGUUCAGUGUACUGUGCUCUCCUCCUUAAAUCUUGGAACAUUUUCCGAAAGAUCGUACAGAAAACAACAACUUCGUGUCUGGUAUGCUUGGAGCCUCACAGGUUACCUGCAUCCCGGAGGCCUCCUUACAGCUCUGUGCAACAUGGUGCAACUAUCUAUUCGCUCAGUCAAACCAAGGAAAUUUUUUUUUACACUUAGAGGACACGGAGCAAACAGGACCCAUACCAAAUGCUACUGGUAAACUGAAGAGAAUCUAUCGAGGGCUGGAAUCAUCCCGCACAAAGACCCGACAAGAGGUAGACCUGUAGGCUCUUACUUUCAAUCGCAACGUCUGGAAUUGUAUAAGUAUCUAUUCCAAUAUCUGCUAGUUUUAAUCCACCUUUCACAUUGUUUGAGACGUCUAUCUUUUGUAGCAAGCAGGUUCAAGAAGUUUUCCUCCAAAAAUCGUUAAGGCUUAGCAUGAUCUCUAUUGUGGUUUCAGUUUUGUAUUUGGUAUACAGGGAUGCUGAAAUCAAACAAUCGUAGAGCCACUCAGAGAAGGAGACUGCGGCGAUGAGGUUGUACUGGAGGAACAAUUGCCGCCUCUCCUUCAACCCAGAGAUUUGAUUCGCAAAAUCCCAAAUGGAGGAUGAUGAACCGAUUUCUGUGCGCUAUUUAUCUACUAUCAUCAAUGCCUGGUGGAAAAAGUCUG